rnacentral:rRNA from 1 species
CGCUUUUGUGGGGUGCCCGAGUGGCGAACGGGUGAGUAACACGUGAGUAACCUGCCCUUGACUUUGGGAUAACUUCAGGAAACUGGGGCUAAUACCGGAUAGGAGCUCCUGCUGCAUGGUGGGGGUUGGAAAGUUUCGGCGGUUGGGGAAGGACUCGCGGCUUAUCAGCUUGUUGGUGGGGUAGUGGCUUACCAAGGCUUUGACGGGUAGCCGGCCUGAGAGGGUGACCGGCCACAUUGGGACUGAGAUACGGCCCAG